GGCCUUACGCUUGCUAGGCAAGCGCUCUACCACUGAGCUAAAUCCCCAACCCCAAAUUAGAGACUUUUUAUUAAAAAAACAAAACAAACAAACAAAAACUGGCCAGGACCAAACCAGAGAAAAUUAAUCGAGAGUCAGCACGGGAGCUUGACCACCUCGCCCAUUCCUGAUGUCAACACUGAGUUUGAGACCAGCCUCUGCUACACAAGAGCCUUCCUCAAACAGACAAGAUGAGAGCUGAAGUUUGGAUUCCCAGCAGCGUGUAAAAAUGUGGUGGAUCUGUAACCUCAGUGCUGGCAGGCAGAGGAAGCCUUUGCUGAUGAACCAAGAGGCUGAGGAGAUAAAGACAUCUUUCAAAGUUCUGGAGCCACUUAAGUAAUAAAGUCAUUUCUGAC
ensembl:lncRNA